rnacentral:tRNA from 1 species
GGGCGGUUAGCUCAGUUGGUUAGAGCAUCACCUUGACAUGGUGGGGGUCACAAGUUCGAAUCUUGUAUCGCCCA